rnacentral:rRNA from 1 species
AGCAGUCGCCGCGGGAAUACGUAGGUGGCAAGCGUUGUCCGGAUUUAUUGGGCGUAAAGCGAGCGCAGGCGGUUAGAUAAGUCUGAAGUUAAAGGCUGUGGCUUAACCAUAGUACGCUUUGGAAACUGUUUAACUUGAGUGCAAGAGGGGAGAGUGGAAUUCCAUGUGUAGCGGUGAAAUGCGUAGAUAUAUGGAGGAACACCGGUGGCGAAAGCGGCCCUCUGGCUUGUAACUGACGCUGAGGCUCGAAAGCGUGGGGAGCAAACAGGAUUAGAUACCCCCGUAGUCCCUGUCUCUUAUACA